UACGAAGGGGGCUAGCGUUGCUCGGAAUCACUGGGCGUAAAGGGUGCGUAGGCGGGUCUUUAAGUCAGGGGUGAAAUCCUGGAGCUCAACUCCAGAACUGCCUUUGAUACUGAGGAUCUUGAGUACGGGAAAGGUGAGUGGAACUGCGAGUGUAGAGGUGAAAUUCGUAGAUAUUCGCAAGAACACCAGUGGCGAAGGCGGCUCACUGGCCCGUAACUGACGCUGAGGCACGAAAGCGUGGGGAGCAAACAGG
rnacentral:rRNA from 1 species